GAUGAAGAACGCAGCGAAAUGCGAUAAGUAAUGUGAAUUGCAGAAUUCAGUGAAUCAUCGAAUCUUUGAACGCACCUUGCACCCUUUGGCAUUCCGAAGGGUAUGCUCGUUUGAGUGUCAUUGUACUCUCACUCUCCCGAUGCUUUUGGAUCGGGAGUGGUGGACUUGGGUGUUGCUGCUUUGCUGUGGCUCGCCUCAAAUGGAGUAGUGCAACUCUUGGUUGGACAUAGUACGGCGUGAUAAGUGUCUUCGCCGGCGCCUCAUUAUAGAGGGUGGCCGAUCGGGAGCUCUGUGCUUCAAACCGUCUUCGGACAACAUCUGACAACUUGACCUCAAAUCGAGUAGGACUACCCGCUGAACUCAAGCAUAUCAAUAAGCGGAGGA
rnacentral:misc_RNA from 1 species